rnacentral:rRNA from 1 species
UACGUAGGGAGCAAGCGUUGUCCGGAAUCAUUGGGCGUAAAGCGUGCGCAGGCGGUGAUGUAAGUCAGGUGUGAAAUCCCCGGGCUUAACCUGGGAACUGCAUUUGUGACUGCAUCGCUGGAGUGUGGCAGAGGGGGAUGGAAUUCCGCGUGUAGCAGUGAAAUGCGUAGAUAUGCGGAGGAACACCGAUGGCGAAGGCAAUCCCCUGGGCCUGCACUGACGCUCAUGCACGAAAGCGUGGGGAGCAAACAGG